rnacentral:rRNA from 1 species
AUGAACAUUAGGGCGGACCUGCCACCGGAUCUUGUCGGGCUCUGCUUCAAUUUCCUGAGCGAGGAGCACGUUGCCAGCGUGUGCGAAAAUGAAAGGGUUUGCCUUUGCUGCCGUCGUCCGGACCACAUUGCGCGGGAAUGCCGCGCCCCUCGCUCUCGCUCGCCGCCGCUCCCAUCGCCUCGUCCGGUCAGGGAGCGGAUUGGGGGGCGUGUCGAGGCCCCGACGCAGCCGCCUUCCCCAACUCCAUCCCGCGUCUACGGACCGGCGACAUCUUUUCAGCAGAGGGCAACGCUGGUGCACGCUCGCCUGGGACUGGUCAGGCACUCUGCCACCAGGGAUCCCUCGGGGCAGAAUCAGCGCGCUGCUGUCCUGGGCGCGCAGAGGGGCACGCCGGCGCGGGAUCGCUUGGGCCCUGCGGUGCCUUGCACCGACAGGGUGCCCUCGGAUUCGCGCCUGGCGAGGAUCCCCGCGGUGGCUGCUGGCGUUGGGGAGCGUGCGUAUGUGCCUGGCGCGCUGGAGUCAAGACCUGCCGUGGAGUGCGUCAUCAUCCCCCGCUCGCCUGAGGUGGUGGCGGCUGAGGAGGCGCUGCGCUGGGCGCUCGUCGGGGUGGUUACUGGUGGCCUCCCAGGGUGGCGGUGA